UUGUGAUCCACAAUGGUGGAUUCCCAAAAAUAAACAACAACCAAAAAAUCCACUGUGGUAUAAUAUUGUACGAGAUAAAAUCAUAAAAGAAUCUAAUAAUUAAAUAGAAUGUAAAGAAUUAAACAAUGUAUGCCUCUUGACUAAGCGCUGCAAUCCAAUUCAUUGUGCUUCCCCUUCAUGUGUGCCUGCCUUGGCCACCAGGAGGCAGUCACGUACAAUACAGUCGUGUACACACAAAAGAAGACCAGACCUCUCCUUCUGCUACUAGUACUUCGUCUCAGGUUUUUCGACAAGAGCAUGCAAGUGGAAGGAGACGUCGCAGCCCUCCAUCGGAGCACGGGGUGCACACCACCACGCUUGACGGCCGGAGGAAAUGACUUUUUCCCUCCGGCUUUGGAGAGCCACAAACAAGAUGACGCUGCAGGCCCCAUUUCAGAUAGUCUUAAAGAGGCCCCGCUUGUCUAUGAAUAUGGAGAUGAGGAUUUAGCAGGGAGGCAAACGUUCAAGAGUGGGAGAGAUCAGAGAGGGGGUUUAAAAAAAAAAAGAUUUGCCGUCUCCGAGGUGCUUUUUCUUGCCUGCUUGUGCAGCUCUGGGCUGGAUUUAAAGGAGGCGUUUGUGGGUGUUUGUGUGGCCCACAUGAGAGCAACUAUGACGCCGCCACCGGCGACAGGUCGGAGAGUAAUUACACACGGGCUCACACAAGCCUGCGGACACAAAAAAAAAAUGAAAACACACCUUUUUUUUCCCCCCCUAAAAGAUCCGCCAUGUGCAUCCAUUUUCUUCCUUACUUUCACCCCACCAAACACUCGGUGUGCUCUGAAAUCAAUACGAUUAUUUAUAUCAUAGCAUCAUAUGCUUGGUUGACAUUGUUGAGUGAAAGUCACGCGGCUUUCCGUCCACGCGCCGCGGUGACUAAGCAGGCAGUCGAAAUGAGGGAUGACACUCCCAGGUGAAAAUAUUUCACAAGACGAGUUUGACACCUUUGUAGGCUUUGUGACCAUUUGUCAUUCACGAGGCGACGGUGAUUAAAUGAACUCGGAGGUGUUGUUUUGUGGUAACUCUUGUACGCAUGCGUGACUAAAGAAAUAAAAAAUACAUUUCAGAUCUCACAUUUUACAUUAAAAAAAAAUUACAUAUUAUUUCAAUAUGCAAUAUCAUUUCAUUAUUUAAAUUUUAUUUUACGAUCAAUUUUGCAGCGACCGGCCA